rnacentral:rRNA from 1 species
GACGAACGCUGGCGGCGUGCCUAAUACAUGCAAGUCGAACGAGAGCGACCGGUGCUUGCACUGGUCAAUCUAGUGGCGAACGGGUGAGUAACACGUGGGUAACCUGCCCAUCAGAGGGGGAUAACAUUCGGAAACGGAUGCUAAAACCGCAUAGGUCUUCGAACCGCAUGGUUUGAAGAGGAAAAGAGGCGCAAGCUUCUGCUGAUGGAUGGACCCGCGGUGCAUUAGCUAGUUGGUGAGGUAACGGCUCACCAAGGCCGUGAUGCAUAGCCGACCUGAGAGGGUGAUCGGCCACAUUGGGACUGAGACACGGCCCAAACUCCUACGGGAGGCAGCAGUAGGGAAUCUUCCGCAAUGGACGAAAGUCUGACGGAGCAACGCCGCGUGAGUGAAGAAGGUCUUCGGAUCGUAAAACUCUGUUGUUAGAGAAGAACAAGUGCUAGAGUAACUGUUAGCGCCUUGACGGUAUCUAACCAGAAAGCCACGGCUAACUACGUG